UUAUGAAUAAGAACAGAUAAUGACCGCUCCACUUCACAUUAUUGUCCAAUAAAAAUUUGAACUUCUUGUGCCAGAUCAUGAUUGGUUGGUGUAUUAUACGUGACAAACGGGCAUUGAAUUAUGUAAUAUUCUAAAAUAAUUAAAUCGACACACUAGCUUUGAUUAUUUAUGGGAAAAAACUUUAAAAUAUUGUUUAGUUUAUUUUUUCCUUCUGGUGACCCAUAGGCACUUACUGAAAGAAGGUUUCCAAACAGACUGUUGAAUAUCAGUCAGUCAAGCAAAACGCAGGCAAAUAACGCCUCAGACUGACAGAUAUGUAAAAAUAAACAGGAAUUUUCCGACUUUUGAGCGAUUGAUUGCUGUUUUGUAAACACUGUCAUGUUAAUUAUAAUCAAAAUGCAUUUUAAAAAUGCAUACAACAUCAUUGCUAUGUGUCUGAGAGGGACUGGCUACUUUUGAUUUUUUUUUUUUUUUUGAAAAAGGGGAGGGGCUUGAGCCCCCAACCCCCCCUGCACAUGCCUGUAUGCAAGUACCAUAAGAAAAGCAAAGAAUUUAAUUGGAUCCCCUCCCUUCACCUAAUUUUUUUCUUCUCCUCUCUAGCCCACCCUAUUUAAACCAGUGCCCAGUCCCACCCUGUGCUGAAUCUGAACCUGAAGCUUGACCUGUUUGGAAACAAAUUUGAUGGAGCUUGGGAAAAUGGCAUCUCGCAGAAAUGAGCCAACUUAUCUUGCCUGGUCCAUCUUCAACACUUUUUGUUGCUGUUUGCCACUUGGGAUUGCAGCAAUCAUCUACUCAUGCAGAGCAGACAAUGCAAAUUCACUUGGAGAUGCUGGAAAAGCUCAAGAGUCCUCCAGGAUAGCAAAGAACCUGAAUAUUGCUUCACUGGUGUUUGGACUGAUUGGAGUAAUUAUGGUGAUUGUAAUGUUGGUGAUUCAAAGCUCAAACAUGUAAGCAACUUGACCAUAUGCUUGUGAUGGAAUUUUUGUUUUGUUUUGUUUUUUUGUUUAUUGGUCCUUGCUAUUCAAACAACACUGCAAACUAUGAACUACACCACUCAGCUCUAGAGAUGAUGAAGACCAGCUGUGGCUUGAAAAUCAAAUAAGCAAUUAUAUCCACACAAUGUUUUGUUUUUUUGGGUUUACUCAGUGUUCAGAAACUAAAGAGCUACAGAAAUAUAAAUUGAUUUGUUAAAAUAAAAUUAUUUUGAAUAAAAUUUAAAAACUCAAGUUUAUUUUAUUUUUAUUUUUUUAUUUCCCUUUUAAGUCCUUUUCAUUUUAUUUUGCAUAUAACUGAAAUGUUCAUGGGAAUUCUGUUUUAUGUCAGAUAAUAUCAUAAAAUGUCCUUCAUUUUAAUUAGUGUAGUAUUUUCCGAUUCAGUGCGAUGAAUGCAAUGUACUGUAAUCACAUAGCUACUAUAUGCAUGGAAAAUGUAACUGGUAAAUGGCUUAUGUAAUGGUUUUCUGCAUUUAUGUAUUAAUGGUUUUCUCCAUUUACGUUGUGUAUUUAUAUACAUAUAUAUAUAUAUAUAUAUAUAUAUAUAUAUAUAUAUAUAUAUAUAUAUAUAUACACAAGUAUUACAUACAUAAUAAAUAAGGCAUUCAAAUGUAACAGUUUGGUUGCUCACAUUUUAUACUUUUGUCAAGUACUUCUCCUUUCUACAUAACAUUUUGCCAUGAUACUCAAGUCUGUAUUUUUCUUUUUUUUUACUUCACUACAUCAACUUUUAUUAAAUGUCAUUUCAUCCUUAAAAAUA